rnacentral:rRNA from 1 species
GAUGAACGCUAGCGGCAGGCCUAAUACAUGCAAGUCGGACGGGAUUUGGGAGCUUGCUCCCAAUGAGAGUGGCGCACGGGUGCGUAACACGUAUGUAACCUACCUUAGUCAGGGGGAUAGCCUCUCGAAAGAGAGAUUAAGACCGCAUAAAAUCACAGUAUAGCAUUAUACAAUGAUCAAAUAUUUAUAGGACUAAGAUGGGCAUGCGGAACAUAGCUAGUUGGUGAGGUAACGGCCCACCAAGGCUACGAUGUUUA